CACGCCGUAAACGGAUGUCUUACUUGUGAGGUUGUGGCCUUGAGCCGUGGCUUUCGGAGCUCACGCGCUAAGUAGACCGCGUGGGGAGUACGGGUCGCCAAGAUUAAAACUCAAAUGAAUUGACGGGGGCCCGCACAAGCGGUGGAGCAUGUGGUUUAAUUCGAUGCAACGCGAAGAACCUUACCUACUCUUGACAUCCAGAGAACUUUUCCAGAGAUGGAUUGGGCCUUCGGGAACUCUGAGACAGGUGCUGCAUGGCUGUCGUCAGCUCGUGUUUGAAAUGUUGGGUUAAGUCCCGCAACGAGCGCAACCCUUAUCCUUGUUUGCCAGCGAGUAAUGUCGGGAACUCCAGGGAGACUGCCGGUGAUAAACCGGAGGAAGGUGGGGACGACGUCAAGUCAUCAUGGCCCUUACGAGUAGGGCUACACACGUGCUACAAUGGCGCAUACAGAGGGCGGCCAACUUGCGAAAGUGAGCGAAUCCCAAAAAGUGCGUCGUAGUCCGGAUUGGAGUCUGCAACUCGACUCCAUGAAGUCGGAAUCGCUAGUAAUCGUGGAUCAGAAUGCCACGGUGAAUACGUUCCCGGGCCUUGUACACACCGCCCGUCACACCAUGGGAGUGGGCUGCAAAAGAAGUAGGUAGUUUAACGUUACAAGGUACCCAUGCUCGAGGUAAUUUAC
rnacentral:rRNA from 1 species